rnacentral:misc_RNA from 1 species
GAUGAAGAACGUAGCGAAAUGCGAUACGUAAUGUGAAUUGCAGAAUUCAGUGAAUCAUCGAAUCUUUGAACGCAUAUUGCGCUCUCUGGUAUUCCGGAGAGCAUGCUUGUUUGAGUAUCAGUAAACACCUCAACUCCCUUUUCUCUUUUGAAAUUGGAGCUGGACUUGAGUGAUCCCAACGCUUUCUUCCAAGAAAGUGGCGGGUUGCUUGAAAUGCAGGUGCAGCUGAACUUUUCUCUGAGCUAUAAGCAUAUCUAUUUAGUCUGCCUAAAAAACAGAUUAUUACCUUUGCUGCAGCUAACAUAAAGGAGACUAGUUCUUGUGCUGACUGAUGCAGGAUUCACAGAGACAGCUUCGGCUGACUUUGUAAACUCGAUCUCAAAUCAAGUAAGACUACCCGCUGAACUUAAGCAUAUCAAUAAGCGGAGGA